rnacentral:tRNA from 1 species
GAAAUGAUGUUUUAAUGGUUGAACAAUUUUGAUUCUCAAACAAUAAGUUACAGGUUCGAAUCCUAUUCUUUUAA